rnacentral:hammerhead_ribozyme from 1 species
ACAGGCUGACGAGUCCAAAAUAGGACGAAAUGCGCGUCUUGGAU